rnacentral:lncRNA from 1 species
UGGGGAUGAAGAGCUGACAGUGGUUGCCAGAGGUUCAGGAUAGGUGGAGGUGGAGUAUUUGAAUAUAAAGAAAUAGUCUUUGUUGUGUAUCACUGGAGUUACACUGUAGUCUGAUUGGGAAAGUAGCUACAUGACUCUAGCCAUUUGCCAAAUCUCAUAAAACUGUAUAUCAGUCUGGGUGCAGUGGCUCAUGCCUGUAAUCCCAGCACUUUGGGAGACUGACGUGGGAGGAUCCCUUAAACCCAGUUGGAAAUCAUCUUAUGCAACAUAACAAGACCUCAUAGCUACUAAAAUACAAACAAACAAACAAACAAAAAAUUAGCCAGGCAUGGCUAAUUAUGAUUGGCAUAUGCCUGUAGUCCAAGCUACAUGAGAGGCUAAGUCAAGAGAAUCACUUGAACCCAGGAGUGUGAGACUACAUUGAGCCAUGAUUGUGCCACUGCACUCCAGCUUGAGCAACAGAGCAAGCUUCUAUUUCAAACAAAUGAACAAAAACUGUGUAUCAGAAGAAGGAGGCUGGGCACGGUGGCUCACGCCUGUAAUCCCAGCACUUAGAGAGGCUGAGGAUGGAGGAUUGCUAGAGCAUAGGAGUUCAAGACCAGCCUGGGCAACAUGGGGAAAUGCUGUCUCUACAAAAAAAUGCAAAAUUAGCCAGGCAUAAAGGCAUGCACCUGUUAGUCCCAGCUACUGGGGUGGGAGAAUUGGUUGAGCCCAGGAAGUGGAGGUUGCAGUGAGUUGAGAACACGCCAUUGUAUUCCAGCCCCAGUGACAAAGUAAGACCCUGCCUCAAGAAGAAGAAGGAAGAAGAAAGACAAAAAGAAAGAGAAGGAGGAGGAGGAGGAGAAGGAGAAAGAAGGAGAAGAAGGAGAAGGAGAAGAAGAAGAAGAAGAAGAAGAAGAAGAAGAAGAAGAAGAAGAAGAAGAAGAAGAAGAAGAAGGGAAGAAGAAGAAGAAGAAGGAGAAGAAGAGGAAGAAGAAGAAGAAGAGAAGAAGAAGAAAAGGAGGAGGACACUUUAUUGCAUGUAACCUGGUACCAUCUUGAAGAGAACUCCAAAACCGUAGAGUUUAUCACCUCAGAGUCCUGCCUGGAACAAAAAUCACUGAUGAACUUUGAGUUCUAUUACAGACCCUGUGUAGUGAGUUUAAGCUGAAUGAAUGAAACUUCCACUGCAAGCAAAGAGGAUAGAAGAGUAAUCCUCAUGAAGCGGCUGUUGUACACUCAGGAGGAUAUGUUUUAAAUAAUGUUCCCACAAAAAGCACCUGCAAACAUCAGAAUCUAAAGGAAAAAAAUCACAACAAAUGAGAUUCAGCCUGAUUAGGGAAAAUGAUUUUCUCUAUCACUUUUACACUGCAAGGCCAGGCUUUGUCUGAAUCUUAUUAAUACGAGAGCGAUGCCAAGAUAACUAAGGCUGAUAAAGAAUAAAUACAAUUUGACCGGAUUCAGCUACAAAUAUCAGAUGUUUUGAAAGAUUAUCAUAAGUGGCUCAAAUUCACUUAAUUCUUUUAUAAAACAAGUUUUUGUUGGACUAUAAAAUAUUUUCCAAUUUCCCUGGAUGACAAAUGGCAAAAGAGGUUAAUUAAAAGUCAACUGAAGACUACUUAGGCACUUAAACAUGUAAUUUCUUGAGCUUCAAACUUAAAUAGCUCAAACUAGUUAAAAAAUAGCUUAUUAUUGUAAUUCAUGUAUUUCCUCUUUAAAUAUACUUUUCUUAGUUUGAUUUAAAAUCUUACUAAAAGUUUGAAAAAAAACUAGUCGUUUAAUAAUCAUUCCGUAUUUGAAGGAAUGAAUGAGAAUAUACAUGCAAGCACAGAGAAGGGUACAAGGGUCUCUUGCGAUCCUCAGAACACUAAUUGCAGGCUUCUCUGUCCCUCUUUACUUAUAUUUUCUUUCUCACCUCUGUGUCCUCACCCUGGCACCUUUUCUCUCUCUAUGUUGGAUUAUCCAGCUGUUACACAUCUGUCAGAAUCCUAUUACUUCCUCAUGACCCAGGUUAAAUUGUUCUUCCUCUGAGGUGCUCUUUCAGACUCUCAUAUUCUCUCUCUUGAUUUCCUGUUACAUUCUUUGGGCAAUUCCCUCUUCAUUUCAGGAAGUUUAUAAUUUUUACUAUUUUGUUAAUUUUAUUUUCAUAUUUAUAUUCUGCUAUGCACCGAAUGCUUGUGUUUUCCCAAGAUUUAUAUAUUGAAGCCUAAAUGUCAAUGUGAUGAUAUUUAGAGGUGGAGUCUUUGAAGAGUAAUUAGAUCAUGAGACUAGAGCCCAGAUGUAUGGGAUUAAUGCCCUUUUAAGUGGCUAAAAAUGACCAGAAGUCUUUCUCUUUGACGUGUCCUCAUGACAAUGAGAACAUGACCAUCUGUAAACCAAGAGGAAAGCAUUCACUUUGAUCUCAGAACCCCAGCCUCCUGAAUUGUGCUAAAUAAAUGUCUAUUGUUUAAGGCACUUUAUCUAUGGCAUUCUGUUAGAGCAGCAUGAACUGACUCAAACAUAGGCCUUAUCUCUUCCUUUUUACUGUGUAUUUCCCGGGAUUAAGGAGGAUACCUAAUGCCUUGUACAGCAUCCCUUGCUUGGGCUUGGUAGUGGAAGGAAGUAUCAAGUUUCCCAUAUUGUGUCUAUUUCAGAAUCUAUGUUCAGUUCUGUCUCCACUGGCAAGUAACUUUUCCCAUAAAGAGAAGGAAGAAUAAGCACAUACUCCAGCCUAGAAACAAGGUCAAUUUUCAAACUCAAGGCCAACUAUGGAAUUGAAUGAGGCAGAGUUGUAUGGCCAUGAAGACAGAUAAAUAAUUUUAGCUGGGGUUUAAAAGUGAUUAGCAGACAUUUUCAGAGUAUACUGUCAAAAAAUAAACACUUCUUUAUUAAUAUUUGAAGUUAACUUUGAACACUUAUUAAAGACAAAUUGAGGAUGUUCUGCAAUUAGUAAUAGGACUCUGAGAAACUCUACUCAUUAUGGAUAAGCUGUUCAUGCAACACAACAAAUGAGCCUUGUUUUGCCUUCAAGAAUGCCUAUCAGAACUUUUAAGACUUGGAGGCCUCAUGUUCUCUCAAGGCUCCAAGCCCUUUUACACAUUUCUCAUCUGCCUGGAGCCACCCUCUCUUUACCAAGGUAACUCCUUUGCCAGGAGUUUUCUUAAAAACAAAAAUAUCACUGGUACACAAACAGGCACAUAGAACAGUAGAACGGAAUAAAGAGCCCAGACACAAGGCUGCACACCUACGACCACCUGGUCUUUGACAAAGCUGACAAAACAAACAAUGAGGGAACAGACUCCCUAUUCGAUAAAUGUUGCUGAGAUAACUGGCUAGCCAUACGCAGAAGAUUGAAACUGGACCCCUUCCUUAUACCAUAUACAAAAAUCAACUCAUGUUGUAUUAAAAAGUUAAACAUAAAACCCAAAACUAUAAAAAUCCUGGAAGACAACCCAAGCAAUACCAUCCUGGACAUAGGAGUGGGCAAAGACUUCAUGACAAAGACACCAAAAGCAAUUGCAACAAAAGCAAAAAUUGAUAAAUAGAAUGUAAUUAAACUUAAGUAUUUCUUCAAAGCAAAAGAAACUAUCCACAGAGCAAACAGACAACCUACAGAAUGGGAGAAAAUUUUUGCAAACUAUGCGUCUGAUAAAGGUCUAAUAUCCAGCAUCCAUAAGAAACUUAAACAAAUUUACAAGAGAAAAACUAACAACCCCAAAUUAAAAGUGGACAAGUGACAUGAACAGACACUUUUCAAAAGAAGACAUACAUGUGGCCAACAAGCAUAUGAAAAAAGCUCAAUAUCACUGAUCAUAAGAUAAAUGCAAAUCAAAACCACAGUGAGAUACCAUCUCACACCAGUCAGAAUGGCUAUUAUUAAAAUGUCAAAAAAUAACAGAUGCUGACAGCAUUGUGGAAAAGAACAUUUAUACACUGUUGGUGGAAUGUAAAUUAGUUCAACCAUUGUGGAAAGCAGUAUGGUGAUUACUCAGAGAUCUAAAAGCAGAACUACUGUUUGAUCCAGUAAUCUUAUUACUGGGUCUAUAUCCAGAGGAAUACAAAUCAUUCUACCAUAAAGACACAUGCACACAAAUAUUUUUGCAGCACUAUUCACAAGAGCAAAGACAUGGAAUCAACCUAUUGUUUAUCCAUCAGUAACAAAUUGGAUAAAUAAAAUAUGGUACACAUACACCAUGGAAUACUAUGCAGCCAUAAAAAAGAAUGAGAUUAUAUCAUCUUUUGUGGAAACAUGAAUGGAGCUGGAGACUAUUAUCCUCUGCAAAUGAACACAGGAACAGAAAACCAAAUACUACAUGUUCUCACUUAUAAGUCAAAGCUAAAUGGUGGGAACUCAUGAAUACAAAGAAUGGAACAAGAGACACUAGGGUCUACUUGAGAGUGGAUGGUGGGAAAAAGGAAAGGAGCAGAAAAAAUAACUAUUGGGUACUAGGCUUAAUACCUUGGUGAUUAAAUAAUCUGUAUAACAAACCCCUAUGACAUGAGUUUACCUGUAUAACAAACCUUCAUCUAUAUAAAAUAAAACAAGUGAAGGUUUUAUUUUAUUUAUUUUAUUUUUUAUUUUAUUUAUUCCUAAAAUAAAA